CGCGGCCUAUCAGCUUGUUGGUGGGGUAACGGCCUACCAAGGCUUCGACGGGUAGCUGGUCUGAGAGGAUGAUCAGCCACACUGGGACUGAGACACGGCCCAGACUCCUACGGGAGGCAGCAGUGGGGAAUCUUGCGCAAUGGGCGAAAGCCUGACGCAGCAACGCCGCGUGCGGGAUGACGGCCCUCGGGUUGUAAACCGCUUUCAGCAGGAACGAAUCUGACGGUACCUGCAGAAGAAGGUCCGGCCAACUACGUGCCAGCAGCCGCGGUAACACGUAGGGACCAAGCGUUGUCCGGAUUUAUUGGGCGUAAAGAGCUCGUAGGCGGUUCGGUAAGUCGGGUGUGAAAACUCUGGGCUCAACUCGGAGAGGCCACCCGAUACUGCCGUGACUUGAGUCCGGUAGGGGAGCACGGAAUUCCUGGUGUAGCGGUGAAAUGCGCAGAUAUCAGGAGGAACACCGGUGGCGAAGGCGGUGCUCUGGGCCGGUACUGACGCUGAGGAGCGAAAGCGUGGGUAGCAAACAGGAUUAGAUACCCUGGUAGUCCACGCCGUAAACGUUGGGCACUAGGUGUGGGACCCCGCCAACGGGUUCUGUGCCGCAGCUAACGCAUUAAGUGCCCCGCCUGGGGAGUACGG
rnacentral:rRNA from 1 species